GACAAACUUUACCUUCGCGGGCAUUUUGGUCCACCUCAUCUCGAAAAGCUGUUAUUCGGAUAAUAAAAGGAUGCAGAAUAACAGCUAAUAUUAAUGGAUCAUUCUAUUCAAGAGAAAGUCAACUGGAACUUGGAUGUUUUCAUAACAGGCUUAAAGAUGAACAAAUUGAUAAAGAAACCCUCCUGCUGAACAUCCACUUCCAAAAGUGCACGCCACACUGUUGUCUACAAACUCCUUGGAAAAGAAUCCUCUUUAGUAAGACUGCUCCGUGGAUAUGUCAGGUUAAGCAGUGCUGAAACCGAAAGAACUAACGCUCUUUAAAAUGUUUUGUGAGUUUAUAUGAAGAGGAAAGUUACGGUGUCCCUUUUUCACAUCCAUAACGCUUGUUUAUUUCUUUUUUUAUAGAAAACUUGUGCAUAGACUAAUAUUUUAUCAUAUAAAUGUGGUUCUAUCAACAAGGGUUUAGUAAAAUACUUUUUAUAGUGUUUUUAUGUUGCAUCCAUAACGCUGCAAUUGCCCUAAAGCAUUUUACUCGUGCCACUUUGUUAACUGUAUAUACAUUUUUGAAGUGUUAAGUUGUCUAACUAUUUAUAUUUACUUUAAUAACUUUAAUAACCUUGUUAAAUGUAUAUGUUAAAAUCUAAACUAAUGUAAUUUAUUGAAGUUAAUUUUCCUUAAAUAUGUAUUAACAUACAUUUCAUCAAAGUGUUUUAUAUGCCAUUUUAUUGUUCAUUGAGCAUAACAUAUUGCAUGUUUUUAUGAAUUCCUUUUGUCUUGCAUUUUGAUCCUUAAUAAAACUUUUGAUUCUUACUGAUGCCUCGAGUAUUUCUCUGUGAUUUUGUUAUUAUUAUUUUUAAACAUUUCGGGUUUGUUUUAAACCAGCAAUGUAAUUUUUAAGCAAAAGUUGAUAUAAAUAAAACAACCCAGCAUGUUGGGUCAAAGAUAUAACCCAACUGGCUGGGUUAAAAUAACCCAACGCUGGGUUUGUCCAUAUUUGACCCAACGUUGGGUUACCAAAAUAACCCAAAUUGGGUUGUUUUAACCCAGCCUU